rnacentral:tRNA from 1 species
ACUAGUUUGGCAGAAAUAAGUGCUUUAAAUUUAGAAUUUAAUAAUGUUUAAUUACAGUUAGUA